UGGGGAAUAUUGCGCAAUGGGGGGAACCCUGACGCAGCCAUGCCGCGUGCAGGAUGAAGGCCUUCGGGUUGUAAACUGCUUUUGUACGGAACGAAAAGACUCUGGUUAAUACCUGGGGUCCAUGACGGUACCGUAAGAAUAAGCACCGGCUAACUACGUGCCAGCAGCCGCGGUAAUACGUAGGGUGCAAGCGUUAAUCGGAAUUACUGGGCGUAAAGCGUGCGCAGGCGGUUAUAUAAGACAGAUGUGAAAUCCCCGGGCUCAACCUGGGAACUGCAUUUGUGACUGUAUAGCUAGAGUACGGCAGAGGGGGAUGGAAUUCCGCGUGUAGCAGUGAAAUGCGUAGAUAUGCGGAGGAACACCGAUGGCGAAGGCAAUCCCCUGGGCCUGUACUGACGCUCAUGCACGAAAGCGUGGGGAGCAAACAGGAUUAGAUACCCUGGUAGUCCACGCCCUAAACGAUGUCAACUGGUUGUUGGGUCUUCACUGACUCAGUAACGAAGCUAACGCGUGAAGUUGACCGCCUGGGGAGUACGGCCGCAAGGUUA
rnacentral:rRNA from 1 species